rnacentral:rRNA from 1 species
CGGAUGUCGUCAGCUCGUGCCGUGAGGUGUUGGGUUAAGUCCCGCAACGAGCGCAACCCCUAUCAUUAGUUGCCAACAGGUAAUGCUGGGAACUCUAAUGAAACUGCCGCCGUAAGGCGUGAGGAAGGAGGGGAUGAUGUCAAGUCAUCAUGGCCUUUAUGCCCAGGGCUACACACGUGCUACAAUGGGCAGGACAAAGGGCUGCAACACAGUGAUGUGAAGCUAAUCCCAAAAACCUGUUCUCAGUUCAGAUCGUAGUCUGCAACUCGACUACGUGAAGCUGGAAUCGCUAGUAAUCGUAUAUCAGCAAUGAUACGGUGAAUACGUUCCCGGACCUUGCACACACCGCCCGUCAAGCCAUGGGAGUCGGGUGUACCUAAAGUCGGUAACCGUAAGGAGCUGCCUAGGGUAAAAUCGAUGACUGGGGCUAAGUCGUAACAAGGUAGCCGUACCGGAAGGUGCGGCUGGAAUACCUCCUUUUAGAGACGGCUUUAACCGGCUGUUGCUUUCACAAACU